rnacentral:rRNA from 1 species
UCUAAGUAUAAGCAACUUGUACUGUGAAACUGCGAAUGGCUCAUUAAAUCAGUUAUCGUUUAUUUGAUAGUACCUUACUACAUGGAUACCUGUGGUAAUUCUAGAGCUAAUACAUGCUAAAAACCCCGACUUCAGGAAGGGGUGUAUUUAUUAGAUAAAAAACCAACGCCCUUCGGGGCUCCUUGGUGAAUCAUAAUAACUUAACGAAUCGCAUGGCCUUGCGCCGGCGAUGGUUCAUUCAAAUUUCUGCCCUAUCAACUUUCGAUGGUAGGAUAGUGGCCUACCAUGGUGGCAACGGGUAACGGGGAAUUAGGGUUCGAUUCCGGAGAGGGAGCCUGAGAAACGGCUACCACAUCCAAGGAAGGCAGCAGGCGCGCAAAUUACCCAAUCCCGAUACGGGGAGGUAGUGACAAUAAAUACUGAUACGGGGCUCUUUUGGGUCUCGUAAUUGGAAUGAGAACAAUUUAAAUCCCUUAACGAGGAACAAUUGGAGGGCAAGUCUGGUGCCAGCAGCCGCGGUAAUUCCAGCUCCAAUAGCGUAUAUUAAAGUUGUUGCAGUUAAAAAGCUCGUAGUUGAACCUUGGGCCUGGCUGGCCGGUCCGCCUCACCGCGAGUACUGGUCCGGCUGGGCCUUUCCUUCUGGGGAACCUCAUGGCCUUCACUGGCUGUGGGGGGAACCAGGACUUUUACUGUGAAAAAAUUAGAGUGUUCAAAGCAGGCCUUUGCUCGAAUACAUUAGCAUGGAAUAAUAGAAUAGGACGUGUGGUUCUAUUUUGUUGGUUUCUAGGACCGCCGUAAUGAUUAAUAGGGAUAGUCGGGGGCGUCAGUAUUCAGCUGUCAGAGGUGAAAUUCUUGGAUUUGCUGAAGACUAACUACUGCGAAAGCAUUCGCCAAGGAUGUUUUCAUUAAUCAGGGAACGAAAGUUAGGGGAUCGAAGACGAUCAGAUACCGUCGUAGUCUUAACCAUAAACUAUGCCGACUAGGGAUCGGACGGGAUUCUAUAAUGACCCGUUCGGCACCUUACGAGAAAUCAAAGUUUUUGGGUUCUGGGGGGAGUAUGGUCGCAAGGCUGAAACUUAAAGGAAUUG